UGUCAAUCUGAAAGAGAGAUGGCUAGGUUCUGAGAUGAGAGGAUUUCUGCCUAGUCCCUCAAGCAGACAAUCUCCAGUGCAAUACCAUCUGAUGCUGUCAUUAAAUCCUCAGCGUCAGGUUUCUGUAGCAACAGAACAGCCUUCCCUGCUCCACUGACUGCUUCUGAAAUCGGAACAAAAACAGUUAAUCUUGUGCUCUUCUUCUAUGCUUUUUGACAGGCUGAGUUCUUCGUAUCUGGAAGGAAGUGGGCUGUGGAAAGUUCACUCAAAUGACAUGAACAGCUGUCAUAUGAGGGGGGAUACGAGUUUCAUUUCAGUAAUUAUCUAUUCUUUCUCAUUAUUUAUUUAUGAUCCUAAUGAAUUGUUGCUAUUAGUAACAUUGAUUAUGUUUUUAAAGAGGAUCACUUAGAUAAAGCAUCCAUUUAUUUGGAUAGUUACGCAGUGUAAUGUUGACAUGCUUUUAAAAGACCUACUGUACAAAAUUUGGUUAUGUUAGUGAGCAAAAAUAUGAAAAAAAGUUGAACAAAACAGUUUUUGAUUGUGACUAUGUUACAUAAAUUAAAAGUAGAUUGUGCCUUUAAACUUCUG
rnacentral:lncRNA from 1 species